GCAAGGAUAACGCCCUAGAGUGCAGAGAAUGUUGAUGAUCCAGUGCUGGCUGGCCAGGGGAGGCAGGCAGCACAUCCAAGGCUUGUCCAGUGGCUGUCAAAUCGCAGACACCUUUCCCUGCAACAUUAAAAUCCCUUCCUGUUCAAUUUUGAACCGCCUCCGGCCUCCGCGGUUUCGCCCCAAGCCUUCUUGGACCAGUUAGCUUGGAGACAAAUGGCUUUUACCUGGCAUCUUAGACCAUCGACUUGGGCCCUGUAGACUAAUUUUCUAGCAUAUAUCCUGAGAAAAUUUGGCUGUGAUACAUGAAAUCAAAGAAUUUUAAAACUGAAAAGAAGCUUAUUGUUUAUCUUAAACAAAACCCUGCUAUUGCAUUAAGAAGCUAUGAUCCAAAGAUAAAGUGGUAGGGUAGAUAUUUUUUACCCUACACAGAAACACUUACAGGUCUAAGCAAAUACAGGAUAUGAAAUAUUUGUGAAGAAAGAAAGCAAUGGAGAAACAGACAGAAUGCAGCUGGAUUCCUUGCCUGAGUAUAACAUGAAUGUCUUCUACCCUUGCUUCCAAAAGAGUUCCUGUCCUCCUCUGAUGCCUCAGAAGUCAGACCUCCACGGCCCACAUCUUUCUUCCUGUGUUCUUCUUAACUCCCACCAGAAUGGCUCAUGAAGCUCUUCUCACCUCAUCAACUCUAACCCAAAGUUCCAAACUCUUACACAUUUGUCCCACAAAUUCACUUCAAAGGCCUAAGAACCACGUGGUCAGAUUAUGACAGCCACAACCCCAUUCCUGACCUCAAUUUUCUGUAUUAGUUGACUUGUUAUGACAAAAAUACCCUAACAAAGGCAGCUUUUAAAAGGGAAGCAUUUAUUUUGCUCACAGUUCCAGAGUACCAUCUAUUAUGGCUUGGAAAUCAUAGCAACGGGAGCUUGAAGCACCUAUUCCUGUUGCAUCCACCGUCAGGAAGAAACAAGAGACAAAAGCCAGACAUUCUUUCUCCUUUUUAAUUGAGCUGGGUGUGAAGCUGGUCUACCUACUACAGUUAACUGAGUCUAGAAAAUCCAUCACAGAAAAGCCAGAGAUUUGACUCCAAGGUAGCUCUAAAUCUCAACAAAUUAACAAGAUUAACAUCAACUUGGGAAUUUCUUUUAAAUUGUAUUCAUAAGAAUAGAACUAUAACAACUGGACUAGAUUAUGAAAACACCCUGUUUUACAUAAGUACAGUGUUUAGCACUAAAUAUGCUAAUGAGGAUACACUAUAGAUUUUGAGCCCACAAAGUGAGGAUACUUAGGGUAUAGCAUGAAAUGCUAUACUGAGUGUAGAGGAUUAUGAAUCAUGUGGGAAAGAACUUAAGCUCUAAAUUAAAUUAGGAAAAAUUCAUUGAGUCUGCAUACUUAGGAAUAUCACAGACUGAACAUCUAAUUUUUGUUUCUCCUAGCAUAUUAUAGGCAAUAUGAUAAAUAAACCAUGGGUUGAUGAUGG
rnacentral:lncRNA from 1 species